ACGAAGACAUACCGACGGAAUCCUUCGGGAGGAAGAUGGUAUGGACUGAGUGGCGGACGGGUGAGUAACGCGUGGGUAACCUGCCCUGUACAGGGGGACAACAGUUAGAAAUGACUGCUAAUACCGCAUAAGCGCACAGUACCGCAUGGUACAGUGCGAAAAACUCCGGUGGUACAGGAUGGGCCCGCGUCUGAUUAGUUAGUUGGCGGGGUAACGGCCCACCAAGACGACGAUCAGUAGCUGGCUUGAGAGAGUGAACGGCCACAUUGGGACUGAGACACGGCCCAAACUCCUACGGGAGGCAGCAGUGGGGAAUAUUGCACAAUGGGGGAAACCCUGAUGCAGCAACGCCGCGUGAGUGAAGAAGUAUUUCGGUAUGUAAAGCUCUAUCAGCAGGGAAGAAAAUGACGGUACCUGACUAAGAAGCCCCGGCUAACUACGUGCCAGCAGCCGCGGUAAUACGUAGGGGGCAAGCGUUAUCCGGAUUUACUGGGUGUAAAGGGAGCGCAGGCGGUGCGGCAAGUCAGAUGUGAAAACCCGGGGCUCAACCCCGGGACUGCAUUUGAAACUGUCGGACUAGAGUGCCGGAGAGGUAAGUGGAAUUCUAGUAUAGCGGUGAAAUGCGUAGAUAUUAGG
rnacentral:rRNA from 1 species